rnacentral:rRNA from 1 species
UUGAUCCUGGCUCAGAUUGAACGCUGGCGGCAUGCCUUACACAUGCAAGUCGAACGGCAGCACGGGAGCAAUCCUGGUGGCGAGUGGCGAACGGGUGAGUAAUAUAUCGGAACGUACCUUGGAGUGGGGGAUAACGUAGCGAAAGUUACGCUAAUACCGCAUAUUCUGUGCGCAGGAAAGCAGGGGAUCUUAGGACCUUGUGCUCUUUGAGCGGCCGAUAUCAGAUUAGCUAGUUGGUGAGGUAAAGGCUCACCAAGGCGACGAUCUGUAGCGGGUCUGAGAGGAUGAUCCGCCACACUGGAACUGAGACACGGUCCAGACUCCUACGGGAGGCAGCAGUGGGGAAUUUUGGACAAUGGGGGCAACCCUGAUCCAGCCAUGCCGCGUGAGUGAAGAAGGCCUUCGGGUUGUAAAGCUCUUUCGGCCGGGAAGAAAUCGCAUCGGUUAAUACCCGGUGUGGAUGACGGUACCGGAAUAAGAAGCACCGGCUAACUACGUGCCAGCAGCCGCGGUAAUACGUAGGGUGCGAGCGUUAAUCGGAAUUACUGGGCGUAAAGCGUGCGCAGGCGGUUUGUUAAGAUAGGCGUGAAAUCCCCGGGCUCAACCUGGGAACUGCGCUUAUGACUGGCAGGCUAGAGUACGGCAGAGGGGGGUGGAAUUCCACGUGUAGCAGUGAAAUGCGUAGAGAUGUGGAGGAACACCAAUGGCGAAGGCAGCCCCCUGGGUCGAUACUGACGCUCAUGCACGAAAGCGUGGGUAGCAAACAGGAUUAGAUACCCUGGUAGUC